GAUGAACGCUGGCGGCGUGCCUAAUACAUGCAAGUCGAGCGAACAGACGAGGAGCUUGCUCCUCUGACGUUAGCGGCGGACGGGUGAGUAACACGUGGAUAACCUACCUAUAAGACUUGGCUAACUUCGGGAAACCGGAGCUAAUACCGGAUAAUAUAUUGAACCGCAUGGUUCAAUAGUGAAAGACGGUUUUGCUGUCACUUAUAGAUGGAUCCUCGCCGCAUUAGCUAGUUGGUAAGGUAACGGCUUACCAAGGCAACGAUGCGUAGCCGACCUGAGAGGGUGAUCGGCCACACUGGAACUGAGACACGGUCCAGACUCCUACGGGAGGCAGCAGUAGGGAAUCUUCCGCAAUGGGCGAAAGCCUGACGGAGCAACGCCGCGUGAGUGAUGAAGGUCUUCGGAUCGUAAAACUCUGUUAUUAGGGAAGAACAAAUGUGUAAGUAACUAUGCACGUCUUGACGGUACCUAAUCAGAAAGCCACGGCUAACUACGUG
rnacentral:rRNA from 1 species